AUAAUACUCCCUUCGUCUGAAAAUACUUGUCAUCAAAAUGGAUAAAAGGGGAUGUAUCUAGAUGCAUUUUACUUCUAGAUACAUCUCUUUUUAUUCAUUUUGGUGACAAGUAUUUUCGGACGGAGGAGUAUCUA
rfam:Triticum aestivum genome assembly, contig: Triticum_aestivum_CS42_TGACv1_scaffold_404907_5BL